AUGAAGAGUUUGAUCCUGGCUCAGGAUGAACGCUAGCGGCAGGCCUAACACAUGCAAGUCGAGGGGCAUCGGGGAAAAGCUUGCUUUUCCGCCGGCGACCGGCGCACGGGUGCGGAACGCGUAUGGAACCUGCCCCUGUCAGGGGAAUAGCCCAGGGAAACUUGGAUUAAUGCCCCAUGGUACCGCGAUAUCGCAUGAUAUUGCGGUUAAAGAUUUAUCGGACAGGGAUGGCCAUGCGUACCAUUAGUUAGUUGGUGGGGUAACGGCCCACCAAGGCAGCGAUGGUUAGGGGCCCUGAGAGGGGGAUCCCCCACACUGGUACUGAGACACGGACCAGACUCCUACGGGAGGCAGCAGUGAGGAAUAUUGGACAAUGGGCGGGAGCCUGAUCCAGCCAUGCCGCGUGCAGGAUGACGGCCCUAUGGGUUGUAAACUGCUUUUAUACGGGAAGAAAUGCGCCCACGUGUGGGCGUCUGACGGUACCGUAAGAAUAAGGACCGGCUAACUCCGUGCCAGCAGCCGCGGUAAUACGGAGGGGGCUAGCGUUGUUCGGAUUUACUGGGCGUAAAGCGCACGUAGGCGGACUUUUAAGUCAGAUGUGAAAUCCCGGGGCUCAACCUCGGAACUGCAUUUGAAACUGGAAGUCUAGAGACCAGGAGAGGUUAGCGGAAUACCGAGUGUAGAGGUGAAAUUCGUAGAUAUUCGGUGGAACACCAGUGGCGAAGGCGGCUAACUGGACUGGUACUGACGCUGAGGUGCGAAAGUGUGGGGAGCAAACAGGAUUAGAUACCCUGGUAG
rnacentral:rRNA from 1 species